UAUUCUAGAUUGAGACUCAUCCCAUAGGCCGUCUCGAUCUAUGCACCUCGAGGUUAGACCUGCGGGGAAAAACAAACGAACAAAAUUUUCUGCCCCAGUUUCACUAGGGAAAAUUUUGUGAGUUAUUUGCCAGGAAGUCCAUAGAAUCAAUGAAGGAAUUGGGUCGACGAUAUCGCCACCAGGUAAGAAUACUCAGUUUAGGGUUGGAACCCUAAGGCUGGCAGAAUGGAAAUAGUUCAGUUCAGGGUUUAAAACCCUAAUGCUGACUAGCUGGGGAGAAGCUCAGUUUAGAGUUGAAAUUCUAAUGCUGACCAACUGGGGAAAAGUUCAGCUUAGGGUCGGGGCCCUAAUGCUGAUUGAAUGAAAAAAGUUCAGUUUAGGGUUUAAAACCCUAAUACUGAUUAAAGGAAAAGGUUCAGUUUAGGGUUUAAAACCCCUAAUGCUGACUGAAGGAAAGAGUUCAGUUUAGGGUUUAAAACCCUAAUACUGAUUAAAGGAAAAGGUUCCGUUUAGGGUUUAAAACCCUAAUGCUGACUAAAGGAAAAGUUCAGUUUAGGGUUUAAAACCCUAAUCCUGACUAAAUGGAAAAGUUCAGUUUAGGGUUUAAAACCCUAAUGCUGACUAAAGGAAAGAGUUCAGUUUAGGGUUUAAAACCCUAAUGCUGACUAAAGGAAAGAGU
rnacentral:lncRNA from 1 species